UGCUCUGCUCUGCCCCCAUCCCCACCCCAGAGACCACAUGCCAUGUUCUACUCCCCUACUGAGUGCUGAGCAUGAUCUCCCCCCUCCCACAUACUCCACCAGGGGAGGGAGAAAGAACUUCCAUUGGACUGUUGGACAGAGGGGUGGGUAAAGUGAAGAAUGUCCUCAGAGAACUCAUCUAGAACCUUUGGAAUCCUAUGUAUCCCAUGUCCCAGUCAUUUCCUAGGUAGCCAAAACUCCCAGACAAUAUUAUGCUACAGCCAGAGCUUGAAGAAAGAGUUCAUCUAAGGCAUCUGUGCAAGGAAAUUUACUGCCAAAUGGAAAUAACUUCACCAGGUCCCUGGGCCAGCUACUUUCCUCUGGAAAUUCUAUUGCUACCUACCCUAAGCAAUUAACUGUAAACUUAGAACUAGAAAAGUCAGAAAAGGAAAAAAGGAGAUCUUCCCAGCUAAUUAAAGUUGAUAUCAUCUCCUGGUUCUUGUCAGCUAAAGUUAUUUGGAUUAUAAGAUGAUUGGCUUGACAAAAUUUCCCCCUAAAGUCUCCAUCCAUAUUUAGACAAAGGUUUACAAGAAAAAUAAAAACACAUCCUAAAUGAUACUCUACCUGAACUUAGGCUUGUCCAUUUUUAUUUUGUUAAUGAUUACUGUUAAUGGAAAUGAAUUAAGCAAGACUGACCAAUAUAGCUGAGGUAGAGACUAUGUAUCUAGAAUUU